rnacentral:snRNA from 1 species
CACCGAGCGGCGGGUAGA